UCAAGGGGCCUGCUCCCUGAGUUAGUGGCGAACGGGUGAGUAAUGCAUCGGAAAGUAACCCGUUGUGGGGGAUAACGUAGCGAAAGGUACGCUAAUACCGCAUACGAUUUGAGGAUGAAAGCGGGGGACCUUCGGGCCUCGCGCGAUUGGAGCGGCCGAUGUCGGAUUAGCUAGUUGGUGAGGUAAAAGCUCACCAAGGCGACGAUCCGUAGGUGGUUUGAGAGGAUGAUCAGCCACCCUGGGACUGAGACCCGGCCCCGACUCCUACGGGAGGCAGCAGUGGGGAAUUUUGGACAAUGGGGGAAACCCUGAUCCAGCCCUGCCGCGUGAGUGAAGAAGGCCUUCGGGUUGUAAAGCUUUUUCAGACGGAAAGAAAUCGCCCGGGUGAAUACCCCGUGUGGAUGACGGUUCCAGGAGAAGAAGCACCGGCUAACUACGUG
rnacentral:rRNA from 1 species